rnacentral:lncRNA from 1 species
GAACUGUAAAAAGGGAGAAGGAAUGAAGACAUGAAAAUAGAGGACAUGAGUCUCAACAAUGGAUUUUUAUAUUUACAAGGAUUCACCUGCUGAUUGUGCCAUGACUCUGCCAGUCUUGGGCAUGAAAGCCUACUGCCAUCUCCUGCCCAGAGACAUCAGAAGAUGCAACUACUGGGGCCGGCAUUGUGGCAUAGAGGGUAAAGCCACCUCCUGUAAUACCAGCAUUCCAUACGGGUACCAGUUUGAGUCCCAGCUGCUACACUGCCUGCUAAUGCUUGGGAAAAGCAGAGGAAGAUGGCCCAAAUGUUUGGGCCCCUGCCACCGACAUGGGAAAUCCAGAUGAAGCUCCUGGCUCCUGGCUUUGGCCUGGUCCAUCCCUGGCUGUUGUGGCUAUCUGAAGAAUGAACCAGUAGAUGGACAAUCUCCCUCUCUCCCUAUUACUCUCUUUCUCCCCCUCCCUCUUCCCAUCUCCGUCUCCCUCUCUCUCCCUCUAUCUGGAUAACUCUGACUUUCAAAUAAAUACAGAAAACUUUAUAUGCA